UACGUAGGUGGCGAGCGUUGUCCGGAUUUACUGGGCGUAAAGAGCGCGCAGGCGGUCGUACAAGUCGCGUGUGAAAGCCCCCGGCUCAACUGGGGAGGGUCACGCGAUACUGUUCGACUCGAAGGCAGGAGAGGGAAGUGGAAUUCCCGGUGUAGUGGUGAAAUGCGUAGAUAUCGGGAGGAACACCAGUGGCGAAGGCGACUUCCUGGCCUGUUCUUGACGCUGAGGCGCGAAAACUAGGGUAGCAAACGGG
rnacentral:rRNA from 1 species